rnacentral:lncRNA from 10 species
AGGCACUCCUGCUUUCGCCGGCUGUUGCAUUUUCCAAGACCACUGUGGCCCACCAUGCCCCCGUCCUGGGCCUAUAAAAACCGGAGUCCCUAGCACAACAGAGACACAAGCCGCUGGACGUAGAGAGGAGCACAUUGGCGGAAGAAGGCGCAAGCGGCUGAUUGUGGAGAGGGCCUCCAGAGGAGAGCGCGGGCAGAAGAGCAGGACAGGCACCCGCUGGCCGGGAGGUCAUUGACUGGCAGAACGACGCGGAAUUUGGCUGGAGCAGUCGGAGGAGAGCCCAGGACGCCCAGCAGCCCGACUCCAGAACAAAACCAUCUCCCUUCUGGCUCCCCCAUCUGCAUCCUUGCUGAGCCUUACUUCUACUCAACAAAGCCUUACACAUUCUCGCAGCCCACGUGUGAUCCGAUUCUUCUGGUACACCAAGCCAGCACAGAUGUGUACAGAGAUGAAGGCACGUGGUCUGCAGUGACACUCGGGCACUAGGUAAAUGAUGAGGACAUUUACAAAUGGUAUUCGAUAGGUAAAUUCAUAAGUGCCAACGGGUAACCAGAAUUCUAUGUCCCAGAAACUGGUGGUGCACUGAACUUUCUCCAUUCUCCUUCCAGAUCCCCUGUCGGCAUUUCUGUCUUCUUUUCUGAGCUCAGGAAGCUGACCUCUGCAGAUUGCAUCAAGUGGGUCUGAGACCCCUUUCCUUUGGCUUUCUUGCGGUUUCAGCCAAUGACAACCACUGUAGCAGAGCAGAGGGGGACUCAUUCUGCUGAAAGCCACAGCUCCUAUCCGGUGGUCUUAGAGCUUGGUAGGUCCUGUAACUACCUGCAUCCUUGCUUGUAGGUUUAAGGGUGGCAGUCACUUCCCUUUUGCUAGCCCCAGAGGGGCUUUACAGAGUCUUGGUUUCCUUGCCCUUACUUUCAUAUAACCUCCUUUUAUUUAAAAAAACUGUUUAAUUAUCACAUUUGAGUGUCUUCUUUUUCUGGCACAUGCAGCUAUGUAGAUUAAAGGGGUAACUGUACUUUAAAAAAAAUCAAUAAAUCAGACUUUUCAUUACUUCGUCUGGUCUCUUCCUUAUCCCUUUGGUCCAAAUGUAUUAUGCAGUAUUGAAAUAUGGUGGUAAUUCAUGAGGGCUAAUAAUCUCAUGUAUUGAGUACUUAGGUGCUAGAGUUUGGCAUGCAUUGUCUCAUUUAAUCUUUAUUAUUACC